UGGGAACUCCUCAGAAUUGAUUCUUAAAUCGGAGUUGAUCCUCACUUUUGCCUUGGGGCCCUCACGUGCCUAGGGCUGUGGUGGAGGGACCAUCACUAGGCGGGUCUCUUCGCUGCCUCCUCACCUGCUCCCAGCCCCACCUGCAAACCAUUGCCUCUAAAUGAUGGAGCAGAGGACAGGGUCCCUCGUGGUGCCCGGCCCCACGCCCAGCUCCCCGGCACAGCUCCCGCCUCCCCCACGGCUGCCCCAGCCAGGCUCUCCUGCCUGGGUGGUCCUCAGCCUCGGUUCCCCUCCACCCUUGACGCUGGCGCCCCAGCUUGGAUCCUGCCCCAGGGCCGGAGGGGGCUGGGGUCAGCCCCAGGUGGGAGCGGAUGAGGCGGUCAUGUCCCUGGCGAGCAUGUGGGGCCACGUGGAUGGACCUCCUGGUCCACGAAGGAGCUGAAUGCCCUGCAGUUUUGGUCUCGCCCGAGCCUGGUCCUAAAUUGAACCCCUGAUAUUUUGCCACAUGGUUUCGAUACAUCAUGUCAUUACCGCCCCUCAAAACCUGCAGGUGGAUGUUAUUAAUCCCAUUUUUCAGCUCCGUUUACUGAAAAAACUCAGAGAGGUUACAUGGCUUGCCUGGAGUCACACAGGAAGUGGCAGCAUCUGGCCCCAAACCCUGAUCUCC